rnacentral:lncRNA from 1 species
UUAUAUUAUUUAUCUUUUUUUUUUUUCACAUUUUGUUUCUUCAAUCCUUCCUUCUUUCUCUAACCAUUCAUCUUCUUCGAUCUCAAAUCUCGCAUUCCAUUUCCAUCUCCUUCCCUAUCGCAGUUGACAAGGUUUGCAAAUAAAUUUUUUCGUCUCUGAUUUACUGCAUUUUUUUUUCUUUACUACAAUUUUUAACAUUUUUAUUUACUGCAGUUUCAAUUUUUUUUAAUUUACUGCUAUUUUUAUUUUUUUGCUCUGAUUAUUAAAGAUUUAAGAUUUGUGUUGUACCUAAUCAUGUUUUUUUAUUUACUGCAUUUUCUAAUUUUUUGCCCUUUAUUUUCGAUGAUGGUGGCUUUUUUUUUUCCGAUGAAAAAGUUUGGGGUGCGGUGAGGUAGUAGGGGUGGGGGAUUAGAAUAUGUCCUUUUUCA